rnacentral:rRNA from 1 species
AUAGAACUCUGGCGGCAGGCCUAACACAUGCAAGUCGAACGAGUGGCGGACGGGUGAGUAAUGUCUGGGAAACUGCCUGAUGGAGGGGGAUAACUACUGGAAACGGUAGCUAAUACCGCAUACCAUCAGAUGUUCCCAGAUGGGAUUAGCUAGUAGGUGGGGUAACGGCUCACCUAGGCGACGAACCCUAGCUGGUCUGAGAGGAUGACCAGCCACACUGGAACUGAGACACGGUCCAGACUCCUACGGGAGGCAGAAGUGGGGAAUAUUGCACAAUGGGCGAAAGCCUGAUGCAGCCAUGCCGCGUGUAUGAAGAAGGCCGUCGGGUUGUAAAGUACUUUCAGCGGGGAGGCGUUACCCGCAGAAGAAGCACCGGCUAACUCCGUGCCAGCCGCCGCGGUAAUAC